UCAGCAACGGUGAAUCAGUAUCGGUAUUGUAUAAAUUGUCAAAACAACAUCUUCAACGGUUGAUGGUGAUAAUUCAAUUCAAGCACCAAAAGCAACCGUUUCAAAGUUUGUAAAAAUUGUGCACCUGUGCCAAAUUCAAUCAUGGCUAACUUUUUACCAUCAAAAAUCGUAAAAGACCAUUUUUACCAUAAAAUAUUGAAGAGAGUUUGGCACGAGAUGAAAUGACUGAGCAUGAUUUCGACAUUAUAGUUGAUGUAAGGUGGCCGUGUAUCCAAAAAAAAUGGCAAGUAAACGCAGUGAGUGGUGUAUUGGAAUAUGCUGACGUCAAUGUUGAUGAUGAAAAUGCAGCGCAAAUCGAUGGAGAGGUCGCUUAACAACCAAUGAUCGUGAUAUCAUGGCCGCCAAAUGCAUUCUCAUCAAAGGACGUUGUGACCUAUUUGGACUGGAUAUCCCGGUAACAUUGCAGAGACCACGUCGACAACAAGCAGUUCAAAAUAAUCAACAGCCUCAAGCAUAACCAAUCACCAUUUUAACUCGAAAAUUAAUUAAAAAUUAAUAUUGUAAUUUUGUUACACUAACUGAGACUAACUACAACAGUCAGUUGUAGUUGUUGACACAACAUCUCAGCAUUUCGAGGAAGUACUACUAAGGCUCUGUUUUUUUAUAUGAGAAACACCCUAUUGUAGGGGAGAAUCACUUACUUAGAAUCACUUACUCAGAAAAACUUAUUUUCUCUUUAUACAGCAAAUUCUUAUGAUUUCGUACAAACAUCGUUGCAAAUGAGUUCGUGUUUAGUCUCGAUGAUAUUGGCUUCAAACUUUUAUUAUCAUAAUAUCAUAACAAUAAUGUUUCAGAAAACAAAGAUAUCAUUUAAAUAAAU